rnacentral:rRNA from 1 species
AGCGAACGCUGGCGGCAGGCCUAACACAUGCAAGUCGAACGAACUCUUCGGAGUUAGUGGCGGACGGGUGAGUAACACGUGGGAACGUGCCUUUUGGUUCGGAAUAACUCAGGGAAACUUGUGCUAAUACCGAAUGUGCCCUUCGGGGGAAAGAUUUAUCGCCAUUAGAGCGGCCCGCGUCUGAUUAGCUAGUUGGUGAGGUAACGGCUCACCAAGGCGACGAUCAGUAGUUGGUCUGAGAGGAUGACCAGCCACACUGGGACUGAGACACGGCCCAGGCUCCUACGGGAGGCAGCAGUGGGGAAUCUUGCGCAAUGGGCGAAAGCCUGACGCAGCCAUGCCGCGUGAAUGAUGAAGGUCUUAGGAUUGUAAAAUUCUUUCACCGGGGACGAUAAUGACGGUACCCGGAGAAGAAGCCCCGGCUAACUUCGUG